rnacentral:rRNA from 1 species
AUUGAACGCUGGCGGCAUGCCUUACACAUGCAAGUCGAACGGCAGCACGGGAGCAAUCCUGGUGGCGAGUGGCGAACGGGUGAGUAAUAUAUCGGAACGUGCCCGGUCGUGGGGAUAACGUAGCGAAAGCUACGCUAAUACCGCAUACGAUCUACGGAUGAAAGCGGGGGAUCGCAAGACCUCGCGCGAUUGGAGCGGCCGAUAUCAGAUUAGGUAGUUGGUGAGGUAAAGGCUCACCAAGCCGACGAUCUGUAGCUGGUCUGAGAGGACGACCAGCCACACUGGGACUGAGACACGGCCCAGACUCCUACGGGAGGCAGCAGUGGGGAAUUUUGGACAAUGGGCGCAAGCCUGAUCCAGCAAUGCCGCGUGCAGGAUGAAGGCCUUCGGUUGGUAACUAGGCUUUUGUUACGGUAACGAAACCGGUAGGAGGACGUCCUUAAUAACCUAGUUUAGUC